ensembl:snoRNA
CUACCAAAAGCUAAUCUGGGGGGGGGCUUUUUCAUAACCUUUAUCAACUUGGGCUAUUUGGCAAAGUGAUCAAGACCACACUCCCCACUGGGUUAUACUUAGUAUGGUUCGUUAAUAUCUUGUGGCCUAUACU